GGAUAUAUAGCUCAGUGGUAGAGCACUUGUCUGGCACAUGAGAGGUCCUGUAUUCA
rnacentral:tRNA from 1 species